AGACACCCCAGAGUCCCAGGAAGCAUGCGGCCAGGAGCUCUUCUGAAGCCAGGAGGAAGGUAGUCAGUCGCAGCAGCCGGUACUUGGUGAAGGACAAGCAGAGGAGCGGGUUCCCGCGACCUUGACUUCUCAGCUGCCCGUGUUAUCAACGGCUCAAAGACUCCAAAAACCUGCGGAAGAAGCCACGAAAAAGCAAAGAUGACCUGCUGAAAGCAGUUAUGGAUCACUCUGCCAGAGAGAAUCAAAAAGUGCAGGACUGGAG